GCAUAUCAAUAAGCGGAGGAAAAGAAAAUAACAAUGAUUCCCUUAGUAACGGCGAGUGAAGGGGGAAAAGCUCAAAUUUUAAAUCUGCUAGGUUUUAUUUAUCAGAAUUGUAAUUUGAAGAAGCGUUUUCCGCGUCUCGGUUGGCCCAAAUCCUUUGGGAUAAGGUAUCAUGGAGGGUGAGAAUCCCGUUCGGUUGACCUUAGGACGCUCUACGAUACGCUCUCUAAGAGUCGAGUUGUUUGGGAUUGCAGCUCAAAAUGGGAGGUAAAUUUCUCCUAAGGCUAAAUAUCGGCGAGAGACCGAUAGCGAACAAGUACCGUGAGGGAAAGAUGAAAAGAACUUUGAAAAGAGGAGUAAAAUAGUACGUGAAAUUGUUGAAAGGGAAACGAUUGAAGUCAGUGGUACGGACGAGAAAUCAACUUAUCGUGUGCGAACU
rnacentral:rRNA from 1 species